UACAGAGGGUGCGAGCGUUGUCCGGAAUCACUGGGCGUAAAGGGCGCGUAGGCGGCUUUGCAAGCGUGCGGUGAAAGCUCGGGGCUUAACUCCGAGUCUGCCGUGCGAACUGUGAGGCUUGAGUCUGGUAGAGGUCGAUGGAAUUCCGGGUGUAGCGGUGGAAUGCGUAGAGAUCCGGAAGAACACCGGUGGCGAAGGCGGUCGACUGGGCCAGUACUGACGCUGAGGCGCGACAGCGUGGGGAGCAACAGG
rnacentral:rRNA from 1 species